rnacentral:rRNA from 2 species
GAGUUUGAUCCUGGCUCAGAUUGAACGCUGGCGGCAUGCCUUACACAUGCAAGUCGAACGGCAGCACGGGAGCUUGCUCCUGGUGGCGAGUGGCGAACGGGUGAGUAAUGCAUCGGAACGUAUCCUGGAGUGGGGGAUAACGUAGCGAAAGUUACGCUAAUACCGCAUAUUCUGUGAGCAGGAAAGCGGGGGACCUUCGGGCCUCGCGCUCUUGGAGCGGCCGAUGUCGGAUUAGCUAGUUGGUGAGGUAAAGGCUCACCAAGGCGACGAUCCGUAGCAGGUCUGAGAGGAUGAUCUGCCACACUGGAACUGAGACACGGUCCAGACUCCUACGGGAGGCAGCAGUGGGGAAUUUUGGACAAUGGGGGCAACCCUGAUCCAGCCAUGCCGCGUGAGUG